rnacentral:sRNA from 1 species
UUGGGCGGCUGCGGUCUGCGCGGACCCCCGCGCCUAGGCACUCCUGUGCCGCCAGUGCGCGGGGCCGGCCUCGCUCAGGCGUGUUCCUGCGCCGACCGGACGGCCGGACUCCAGCGCCUUGGCCCGGCCCGCGAACUCUGAGCACUCGCGGAAAUCCUUUAAAGGAAGUGAAAUCAAAUGGAUGUUGGUGAGUACCGCACGGCAACCAUUGCUUCAUUUCAUGGUUCAGAGUGAACUCUAAUCUGGAAGCCUUCCUUAGGUCAUUCCUGCUUCUGGGAUCCAACUCUAUGUUGUGCUUAAGAAAUGUGUCACAUCAGACAGAGUGAAUCACAAGACAGAGAUAUUUACCUAUCACAUACAUAUUUUAUUAGAUUUCAAGAUGACCAUAUAUACUUGGACAUAUCUGGACUUCAAAUUUGCUGGAACUUAGUUGCAUCCCGAGCUGGCUAAUACCUAGAGAUUCAUCAUUUCUGUUUGGAGAAAUGAAGAGGAACAGUUUAUCUGUUGAGAAUAAAAUUGUCCAGUUGUCAGGAGCAGCGAAACAGCCAAAAGUUGGGUUCUACUCUUCUCUCAACCAGACUCAUACGUA